AGAGGGCACACGGCCACACUGGCACUGAAACACGGGCCAGACUCCUACGGGAGGCAGCAGUGGGGAAUCUUGCACAAUGGGGGAAACCCUGAUGCAGCGACGCCGCGUGAGCGAUGAAGCCCUUCGGGGUGUAAAGCUCUUUCGUCAGGGACGAUAAUGACGGUACCUGGAGAAGCAGCUGCGGCUAACUACGUGCCAGCAGCCGCGGUAAUACGUAGGCAGCGAGCGUUGUUCGGAGUUACUGGGCGUAAAGGGUGUGUAGGCGGUUUUCUAAGUUUGGUGUGAAAUCUCCCGGCUCAACCGGGAGGGUGCGCCGAAAACUGGGAGACUAGAGUGCGGGAUGGGAGAGUAGAAUUCCUGGUGUAGCGGUGAAAUGCGUAGAUAUCAGGAGGAAUACCGGUGGUGUAGACGGCUCUCUGGACCGCCACUGACGCUGAGACACGAAAGCGUGGGUAGCAAACAGGAUUAGAUACCCUGGUAGUCCACGCCCUAAACGAUGCAUAUUUGGUGUAGGUCAUUCAGUUGAUCUGUGCCGGAGCUAACGCGUUAAAUAUGCCGCCUGGGGAGUACAGUCGCAAGGCUGAAACUCAAAGGAAUUGACGGGGGCCCGCACAAGCGGUGGAGCAUGUGGUUCAAUUCGACGCAACGCGAAGAACCUUACCUGGGCUCGAACGGCUUCUCAACGAUCGUGGAAACACGGCUACUCCGCAAGGGGGUGGAGUCGAGGUGCUGCAUGGCUGUCGUCAGCUCGUGUCGUGAGAUGUUGGGUUAAGUCCCGCAACGAGCGCAACCCUUGUCCUGUGUUGCCAUCCCGCAAGGGGGGACUCGCAGGAGACCGCCAGCGAUAAGCUGAGGAAGGUGGGGAUGACGUCAAGUCCUCAUGGCCUUUAUGUCCAGGGCUACACACGUGCUACAAUGGCCGGUACAAAGCGCAGCUAAGCCGCGAGGUGGAGCCAAUCGCAAAAAACCGGUCUCAGUUCGGAUUGCAGGCUGCAACUCGCCUGCAUGAAGCUGGAAUCGCUAGUAAUGGCGUAUCAGAACGAUGCCGUGAAUACGUUCCCGGGCCUUGUACACACCGCCCGUCACAUCACGAAAGUGGGUUGUACUAGAAGUCUGCAGGCUGACCCGCAAGGGAGGCAGCGGCCCAAGGUAUGACUCAUGAUUGGGGUGAAGUCGUAACAAGGUAGCCGUAGGAGAACCUGCGGCUG
rnacentral:rRNA from 1 species